UACGGAGGGGGCGAGCGUUAUUCGGAAUUAUUGGGCGUAAAGGGCGCGUAGGCGGCCUGGUAAGUCAAAGGUGAAAUCCCUCGGCUCAACUGAGGAACUGCCUUUGAAACUGCCUGGCUUGAGGCCGGGAGGGGGUGGCGGAAUUCCCAGUGUAGCGGUGAAAUGCGUAGAUAUUGGGGAGGAACACCCAGUGGCGAAGGCGGCAUCCUGGACCAUUACUGACGCUGAGGCGCGAAAGCUAGGGGAGCAAACGG
rnacentral:rRNA from 1 species